CACCCAUUGUUUAUCCUUCUAUUUCUACAUUAUAAUUAGCUCCAAAAAAAUUGCCUCGCUAUUUUAAAUUUAAAAUUUUUAUAGUGAUUGUGCCUACAAAAAAAUCACGAGAGAUUACAUUUCUACAAAUCAUGAGAGAAUUUAAAAUUUUCAUAGUCACGGAUAGUGAUUGUGCCUACAAAAAAAUCACGAGAGAUUACAUUUCUACAAAUCAUGAGAGAAUUUAAAAUUUUCAUAGUCAGGGUACCUACAAAUGCACUCAAAUGUCACAACUUGCUUAUACAUAACAAGUCUGGAGGGAUUUUUUUUUUGAAACUACAAGGUAACAUUUCGACUAAGGAACAUAUCCAAUUGUACCAAAGUGCAAAAGAAUGUGUUGUGCAAUCAAGUGAAGGUCAUGAAAGCUCUGUGCAUGGAGUGGUCAUAUGUCAAACGAAUGAAGUUGAUUCAAGGGUCUAAGCUAUGCAAAAUUGCAGUUUAUAUUGCUAUUUUCAUCUUUGUGGCUGGUGUUUUUCUUAUCUUUUCCAGAAAGCAAAGAGAUAGGACUUUUCAUCUUUGUGGGUGGUGAUUUUCUUAUCUUUUCCAGAAAGCAAAGAGAUAAGACUAUGUUCUCUAAGUAAGAGCAGCUAAAGAGUAGUAAUAGAGACAUCCAUGUAACAAUUGAUUACUUGAAGCAAACUACUGCAAAAUAAAAAAAUGUACAUCAGGCAUCAAAUGACAACUUGAAUAAACUUCAAUAGAUGUAUCCGAGGACAAGUUUUGGGGUGUCUGACCCUAGAGAUGCUCAAGCUAAUUGCUUGUGGUACUAGUUGUCUAUUGCAGUCACUAGACUUAAUUUUAUGUUCUCUUCCCCUCCUCCUAAAUUGUGUUACUUUUUUUGUUAGAUUUUCAUCCUCUUUUGUGGACUUUAUUUUGGUAUAGCUCAUCUUCACACUAUUAGAAGUACAAAAUGAAAGUUGCAUAGCAAGUUGUAUAAUUGUCAACUGAAAAUACUAACUAACAAGGUUGCAAAUGAUACCAAGAAAGUCAUAAAGCAAUAAAAAAGACAAUGAUUAGGUCAUAAUGACUUUCUAACAUAUAGGUUCAAGUUUCACUUAAUUUGAUGGUAAACCAAAUACUGAACUUAAAACAGAAAGAACAACGAAGAAGAAAAAAGAACAUUAAGAUGGACUAAAUUGAACUAAAUAUAGAAAAAAUUAACUAUAGCAAUAUAAAUAUUAUCUAAUCUAGAUUUUGUUCCCUGAAAUGAGUAACAUAUGAGGCUAAUAAAAUUACAGCCACAAUUCACAAAUACUCUAAAUCAAAAAUCAUGUAACACCCCAUUAUGUAAACAAGCUCAAAAAUCUGACCUAGAAUACUUACUUCUGGAAUUUUUUGAAAGGAAGAAAACUUACCAAGAGCAACUAUUUCGAACUCUGUUAAGAAAAUCUUGAAGAAAGUAUACAGAUGGCUAGCAAACAAUAAACUUCAAACUCGAAUCUGCCACUUCCACAAAAAAAUCAUGAAAAAUGUUGAGAGAUAACCAAAAAUCUAACAAGAAUCUCUUUACGCAUUCAUGACAAAAUAAUCAGCCAACCAGAAUAAAUGAAUGAAUGAAUCCUAGCAACAUAUAAAGUGAGCUAACAAUUUCAUACUACGAGAUGACCCCAAAUGAUGAAAUGGAGGUUUUAAAUUUCCCAAGAUGCAUUUCUUCAAAGCAAAUUUCAACAACCAGAUGCUUAAAUUGAACAACCAGUAGAGUAAUUUCAACGAGGCAAAGUAACGACACAUGAAAGCAUUACACCAACUUCCAAACAUCAAGAAAACUUGAGAGAAGUAGUCUUAUCUUAAAAAAAAUACAGAUAACACUAGCAGAAAACAAAGCAGGCAGCAAACUGGAGAAGCAAGAGCAUUCAAAGUGCUUAACAUAUUAAACAAAUUCCGAACCUGGUAACAGGAAAAAAAUAUAGUAUUUAGAGAAGAUAACACCAUUAUUCAACCCAGCGAAAACAACAUUCGACGAAGAAGAGCAACCAAAACGAGAUGAGGAUGAGGUUGUUACCUGCAACGAACUCUAGAAAUCGAUUUCCAAACCAGCAGACUCAGAAAGCUUCAGCUCCUAACUUUUGGAUAUCUAAAUCUAUAUAUCCUUCUCUGUAUAUUUUCUGCCUCUCCAACGUCUAUAUAUUUUUCCCAGGCAAAGAGGAGGUUUAUAUAGGAGGACUGAAUUGGGAUGAAAUGAUUGAAAGCUGGAAUUGUAACGGGAAAGAGAGGAGAGUCGUCCGAUUCCUUGGUGAAGGACGAAGGAGAUGCAAGAUUGGAAAGUUCAACAACGGUCAUUGUACGGAGAUGGAUUGUCGCGAUUCGGGUCACCUUCUUCGCGUGAAGAAGAAAGGGUUUCUUUGGUAUUAUGGAGUGGGCUGCUCAAUUGUUU
rnacentral:lncRNA from 1 species